AGGAGUUCUAACCUACAAAAAAAACUUGGACUAAACUCAUGCCUUUGGGUUUCCCAGGACAACUGACCCCGGCGCGCGGUGGCUCUCCGGGUCACUCCACCCCCUGUUCAUUCCCAGGAAUGGAUCCGCCCAGGGCCUGAACCAAGUGACCGCUUAGCCAGGAGGGCUCCCGCACCCCAGGAGACCUGUGCGGCCACCUGCUGCUCCGGCCAAAGUUGAUAGGACCGCGCUCCCUGAAAACAGAGACCCUCUGGGGUAUUCCACCUGCCGAGAGGGGCCGGCCCUGCCGCGCACCUGUUCGCCGCCGGUCCACACCCCUGUCCCCGGCGCCGAUGGACCCGCCUAGGUCAGGCUUCCGGAAGUUCUGAUACUUAAAGGCGCUGAGCCGAGACUGGAGACGGGGAGACCUGUUUCGGUUCAAAGGUUCCCAGGCCGUCACCUGCACCCGGGGCGCGGCCAGAGGCUCUCGCCCUUCUCAGCGUUACUCUGCUACCUCCUGGUGGCGCCGAGGAGAAACGCAUCCUAGGAAAUUGUGAACUGGCCAUUGCCUGGUGGGUUGGGAACCCUAUCAUUUUAUUGUGUGUGUUGUAAAACUUGUGUCAGGUCACAUGCUUCCUCUCAGAAAUCUCCCAUAGUUCCUCCUUACUCCCAAGCAAAAUUCAAAUACUCAUACUGGCCUGAUUGUCCCUCCCCAACGUCACUUUGCGCCCUUCGCUUAGUUGACGUCAACCACACUGGCCUGGUUGGUCCUGAAUCAGACUUUCACACAUGUCUGGUUUCGCUACCAGAAUUCCCUUCCUGCUGCGGACGCCUCAUCCCAUUUUCCUUAGGGCCUCAUUCAAAGGCAAAGGCUUCUCAUAAAAUUUCACCCUGCUCAUGAGCCAUCAUGCUUUUUU